rnacentral:rRNA from 1 species
GUUCCUACGGGAGGCAGCAGUGAGGAAUAUUGGUCAAUGGGCGCGAGCCUGAACCAGCCAAGUCGCGUGAGGGAGGACGGCCCUACGGGUUGUAAACCUCUUUUGCCGGGGAGCAACGGGCGUCACGUGUGGCGCCACUGAGAGUACCCGGAGAAAAAGCAUCGGCUAACUCCGUGCCAGCAGCCGCGGUAAUACGGAGGAUGCGAGCGUUAUCCGGAUUUAUUGGGUUUAAAGGGUGCGUAGGCGGAAUGCCAAGUCAGCGGUAAAAUCGCGGGGCGCAACCUCGCUCCGCCGUUGAAACUGGG